GAUGAAGAACGCAGUGAAAUGCGAUAAGUAAUGUGAAUUGCAGAAUUCAGUGAAUCAUCGAAUCUUUGAACGCACAUUGCGCCCCUUGGUAUUCCGAGGGGCAUGCCUGUUCGAGCGUCAUUUCAACCCUCAAGCACAGCUUGGUCUUGGGCUUCGCCGCUAACCCGGCGGGUCUUAAAAUCAGUGGCGGUGCCGUCGGGCCCUGAGCGCAGUAAUCUCUCUCGCUAUAGGGUCCCGGCGGAUGCUGGCCAGUAACCCCCAAUUUUCUAUGGUUGACCUCGGAUCAGGUAGGGAUACCCGCUGAACUUAAGCAUAUCAAUAAGCGGAGGA
rnacentral:misc_RNA from 1 species